UACGGAGGGAGCUAGCGUUAUUCGGAAUGAUUGGGCGUAAAGGGCGCGUAGGCGGUUAUAUAAGUCUUCAGUGAAAUCCCCGGGCUUAACCCGGGAACUGCUGGGGAUACUGUAUAGCUAGAGUAUGGGAGAGGGUAAUGGAAUCUUUGGUGUAGAGGUGAAAUUCUUAGAUAUCAGAGAGAACGUCGGUGGCGAAAGCGAUUACCUAGAACAUAACUGACGCUGAGGCGCGAAGGCGUGGGGAGCAAACCGG
rnacentral:rRNA from 1 species